rnacentral:rRNA from 1 species
UAAUACCGGAUGUGGCACCCUGCGAUUGCGGGGGAAGCUAAAGGAUUAUUCACUUCCCGAGGGGCUCGCGGNCCAUCAGCUUGUUGGUGAGGGUAACGGCCCACCAAGGCGACAACGGGUAGCUGGUCUGAGAGGAUGGUCAGCCACACUGGAACUGAGACACGGUCCAGACACCUACGGGUGGCAGCAGUCGAGAAUCAUUCGCAAUGGGGGAAACCCUGACGAUGCGACGCCGCGUGGAGGAUGAAGGCCUUAGGGUUGUAAACUCCUGUCAAGAGGGAAUAAGCAAGUGAAGGUACCUCUAGAGGAAGGGGCGGCUAAUUCCGUGCCAGCAGCCGCGGUAACACGGAAGCCCCGAGCGUUGUUCGGAUUCAUUGGGCGUAAAGGGUGCGUAGGCGGCGCGGAAAGUCCGGCGUGAAAGGCAGGGGCUCAACCUCUGGACUGCGUUGGAUACUUCCGUGCUUGAGGACUGGAGGGGAGACUGGAAUUCACGGUGUAGCAGUGAAAUGCGUAGAUAUCGUGAGGAAGACCGGUGGCGAAGGCGAGUCUCUGGACAGAUCCUGACGCUGAGGCACGAAGGCUGGGGGAGCGAACAGGAUUAGAUACCCUGGUAGUCCCAGCAGUAAACGAUGUGAGCUUGAUGUGGGGGGAUUCGACCCCUUCCGUGUCGAAGCUAACGCGAUAAGCUCACCGCCUGAGGAGUACGGCCGCAAGGCUAAAACUCAAAGAAAUUGACGGGGACCCGCACAAGCGGUGGAGUAUGUGGCUUAAUUCGAUGCAACGCGAAGAACCUUACCUGGCCUUGACAUGCAUUGUGUCGUCGGUGAAAGCCGGCUAGUCCUGGAAACAGGACGCUUUGCACAGGUGCUGCAUGGCUGUCGUCAGCUCGUGUCGUGAGAUGUUGGGUUAAGUCCCGCAACGAGCGCAACCCUUGUGGUCAGUUACUAACCGGCUUAGCCGGAGGACUCUGGCCAGACUGCCCUGUCAAACGGGGAGGAAGGUGGGGACGACGUCAAGUCAGUAUGGCCCUUAUGGCCAGGGCUGCACACGUACUACAAUGCCCGGUACAAUGUGAACCGAAACCGCGAGGUGGAGGAAAUCGCUCUUGAAAACCGGGCCCAGUUCGGAUUGGAGUCUGCAACUCGACUCCAUGAAGUCGGAAUCGCUA